rnacentral:hammerhead_ribozyme from 1 species
AUACUGCUGAGGAGUCCCAAACUAGGACGAAACAGCUGUCCAGUAU